GUAGGGAGUGUGACUGUGAGGCUGGUCCAUGGUGCCUCACAGGGUACCAGGCCCUUCCGGGUUAAUUCUGCUGCCGUCGGAACAACAGAUAGUUGCCACACCUGUGGCCACACAUUCACACGGUUCCCUUUGCCCCUGUGAGUUGCCUGGCAGAGACUCCAGCUCAAGGUUCACACCGACCUUGCACACUAUACCGAGACACAUCCAGAUGCCAAUCUGCACCCUCACUCGCAGAAAGGCACGCAAAGGAAAGCAAGUUGCCUGGGAAAGUUAUGACCCAUUGAUAAAGACAACCAGAUGCCUUGGUCAGAGUCAAGAGCAGCAAGUGUUAGUUCACAAACCAGGCAGAGGACCCGGAGCCCCGGAUCUGCGGGACUUCUGUCAGGACUUGAGAUUUGGGGGUUGAGGGAGGAAUACUAGCACUGGUGGAGAGUUGUCUUCAUCGUGUGAAGGCAGGACAGUGGAUGUAAACAGCUUACCGCACCAGAUUCAUUAAGACCACAAGGAUGUCCAAGUUCAGGGCUGCCAUCACUUUAAACUGCCACAGGGGGGCGCCCGUGCCCUGUCAUCGGGUAUCCCGGGGCCUUUCCCGGCAGCUGCCAAAGACUACUUUCUCCACUAGGGGCUGAUUAUUUCCACUCAAGGAAAUGGUUACAAAAACGGACGUCGAAUCUGGACAAUCCCUGCUAAACCCAGUGUGUGUGCCAGAGCAGUCUGGAUUCUUUCCAAUAAACUCACCACCUCAGAACAGCUCCAAUUCCCCUCAAAUAAACACGAGUUCUCUCUUUUA